rnacentral:rRNA from 1 species
UACGUAGGGUGCGAGCGUUAAUCGGAAUUACUGGGCGUAAAGGGUGCGCAGGCGGCGUCGCAAGUCAGGCGUGAAAUCCCGGGCUUAACUGGGAACUGCACUUGAAACUACGAUGCUGGAGUAUGGCAGAGGGAGGUGGAAUUCCACGUGUAGCGGUGAAAUGCGUAGAGAUGUGGAGGAACACCGAUGGCGAAGGCAGCCUCCUGGGCCAAUACUGACGCUCAUGCACGAAAGCGUGGGGAGCAAACAGGAUUAGAUACCCUGGUAGU